ensembl:lncRNA
CUAUAUCAAUGCAAAAUACAGCUAGGAAAACCAAAGAACUAGUUUGAAAAGGGAAACGAUCCACCCCAUUAUUCAAAUAUUUAGAAAUAGAAAGAUCAACUCAUCCAUCUUAUUUCCCCUUGUCGUGUCUUAACCUUGUGUAGUACAUUAUUGGGAGGAGGAAAGUAAGGUUUCUAACAGGUCACAACUAGAUUCAAUGCAGGGAAUCAACCAAAACCCUAACCUCUGGGUUCCCGUUUGAAUAGGAGGCAAAGACAGAUGUUUUCUUCCCCCUCAUAACAUUCCUCCUACAGUUCGCUCCUUCUCAUGACCGGAUUUCUGGCCUGCUCCAUGGAAUGCUUUGGAGAAGUUUUAGAUAGAAACUCUUGGUGGGCCAGUGAGCCACGCUUCAAAACCAGCUCUUUUCUGCUCUGUAAACCGGACGAAUGGGGCUGAGGAGAGAGAGGGGGAGGGAGGAUGGAAGGAGACGGAGGAGUGAGGGGGAUUGUGUGUGUGUUAUCGUCUCCAACUGUGGAAUGUUGAGUCGGCAAGAAGAGCUCAGUGUCAAGUCUGGAACCGAUCAGAGCAGAAGAGCUCAGGGCCGAAAGAGAAGGGUGAGAAAAUAGGAGAAAAGGGGUCAAAAUAAUGGAGGGAGAGGGAGACUGACAGGCAGGCACGUAUGUGGGAAGAAUGGGGCAGGGAGGGAGGAAUGGAGAUGAGAGAAGAGUAGUGAAAUGUCCUAGGUUCACCCUGCCUCCUAGUGGAGGGUUGUUGUAGGACCCUGCUUCAAAAUGACUGCCGGACUGGUUGUAAUGAAUUUGAGCGGACUACAAGUUGGAGUUGCCUACAAAGUGAUGAUGUGAGUCUGGCCCUGAUGUCCUACCCUAUCUGGGACUGACUAUGUGACUGUGGUGGGCUUUUUACAUUUGAGUCCCUGUGAAGAAAGGUUCAAAUAAGCACCUGUUUUGAUUUUUUAAAUAUUUGUUGUUUUUAUAUGAAAUGAAUAAAAUAUAUGUUGGCUAA